AACGAACGCUGGCGGCAGGCCUAACACAUGCAAGUCGAACGCCGUAGCAAUACGGAGUGGCAGACGGGUGAGUAACACGUGGGAACGUACCCUUCGGUUCGGGAUAACUCAGGGAAACUUGAGCUAAUACCGGAUACGUCCGAGAGGAGAAAGAUUUAUCGCCGAGGGAUCGGCCCGCGUCUGAUUAGCUUGUUGGUGAGGUAACGGCUCACCAAGGCGACGAUCAGUAGCUGGUCNGAGAGGAUGAUCAGCCACAUUGGGACUGAGACACGGCCCAAACUCCUACGGGAGGCAGCAGUGGGGAAUAUUGGACAAUGGGCGCAAGCCUGAUCCAGCCAUGCCGCGUGAGUGAUGAAGGCCCUAGGGUUGUAAAGCUCUUUUACCCGGGAAGAUAANGACUGUACCGGGAGAAUAAGCCCCGGCUAACUUCGUGCC
rnacentral:rRNA from 1 species